rnacentral:tRNA from 1 species
GCCGUCUUAGCAAAAAUGGAAAUGCGCUUCCCUUGGGUGGGAGGAUGUAUAGGUUCGAAUCCUAUAGUCGGUA